GAUGAACGCUGGCGGCGUGCCUAAUACAUGCAAGUCGAGCGAACAGACGAGGAGCUUGCUCCUCUGACGUUAGCGGCGGACGGGUGAGUAACACGUGGAUAACCUACCUAUAAGACUGGGAUAACUUCGGGAAACCGGAGCUAAUACCGGAUAACAUGUUGAACCGCAUGGUUCAACAGUGAAAGACGGUCCUGCUGUCACUUAUAGAUGGAUCCGCGCCGCAUUAGCUAGUUGGUAAGGUAACGGCUUACCAAGGCAACGAUGCGUAACCGACCUGAGAGGGUGAUCGGCCACACUGGAACUGAGACACGGUCCAGACUCCUACGGGAGGCAGCAGUAGGGAAUCUUCCGCAAUGGGCGAAAGCCUGACGGAGCAACGCCGCGUGAGUGAAGAAGGUCUUCGGAUCGUAAAACUCUGUUAUUAGGGAAGAACAAAUGUGUAAGUAACUAUGCACGUCUUGACGGUACCUAAUCAGAAAGCCACGGCUAACUACGUG
rnacentral:rRNA from 1 species